rnacentral:rRNA from 1 species
UCGGGCUGGUAACCUCUUCAGCAGGAGAAGCGAAGUGACGGUACUGCAGAGAGCGCUGCUAAACUACGUGCAGCAGCCGCGUAAUACGUAGGGCGCGAGCGUUGUCCGGAAUUAUUGGGGCGUAAGAGCUUGUAGGCCGGUUUGUCGCGUCUGCUGUGAAAGCCCGGGGCUUAACUCCGGGUUUGCAGUGGGUACGGGCUAACUAGAGUGCAGUAGGGGAGACUGGAAUUCCUGGUGUAGCGGUGGAAUGCGCAGAUAUCAGGAGGAACACCGAUGGCGAAGGCAGGUCUCUGGGCUGUAACUGACGCUGAGAAGCGAAAGCAUGGGGAGCGAACAGGAUUAGAUACCCUGGUAGUCCAUGCCGUAAACGUUGGGCACUAGGUGUGGGGGACAUUCCACGUUUUCCGCGCCGUAGCUAACGCAUUAAGUGCCCCGCCUGGGGAGUACGGUCGCAAGGCUAAAACUCAAAGAAAUUGACGGGGGCCCGCACAAGCGGCGGAGCAUGCGGAUUAAUUCGAUGCAACGCGAAGAACCUUACCAAGGCUUGACAUAUACUGGACUCCCCUAGAGAUAGGGUUUCCCUUCGGGGCUGGUAUACAGGUGGUGCAUGGUUGUCGUCAGCUCGUGUCGUGAGAUGUUGGGUUAAGUCCCGCAACGAGCGCAACCCUCGUUCUAUGUUGCCAGCACGUGAUGGUGGGGACUCAUAGGAGACUGCCGGSGUCAACUCGGAGGAAGGUGGGGAUGACGUCAAAUCAUCAUGCCCCUUAUGUCUUGGGCUUCACGCAUGCUACAAUGGCCGGUACAAAGGGUUGCGAUACUGUGAGGUUGAGCUAAUCCCAAAAAGCCGGUCUCAGUUCGGAUUGGGGUCUGCAACUCGACCCCAUGAAGUCGGAGUCGCUAGUAAUCGCAGAUCAGCAACGCUGCGGUGAAUACGUUCCCGGGCCUUGUACACACCGCCCGUCAAGUCACGAAAGUUGGUAACACCCGAAGCCGAUKGCSUAACCUGUGGSACSGAGUCCKSCRUGGGUGUAKCCC